AUGACGAUGCCAUACUUAAUUUCUUGCUUAGCUACCUCUAAUUUGUGUUCCCAUAGCCAUAGGGCUGCCUAUAGAAAGGAAGAGAGACAGCUCAGAUCCUCGGAGUCCAGCACUAGUGAGUUCCCAAGACCCAUCUCAGCUCUGCCCACACUUGUCCACCUGUCCAGCGCUAUGAGGGGCCUUGUGGCUGCUGGCUUUACCCUCCUCUGCACCACAGGCCCACGGCUCCUAUGCACAAGCUUUGUCACCAAACAGGGCCAGUAUUUCUGUGCCAACCCCAGCAGUGCCUGGGUCCAGGAAUACAUCAGGGACCUGGAGAGAAUCCAAGUGGUCCAUCAGGAACCCAUUAGAGGUAUGGGUAGAUUGAGCAGCAGGGACCUGAACCAGAGAACUGUCUCUAUAACUCCAGAAAUUCCCUCUCUCCUCCUAACCACAUUCUGGAAACUAAUUUAGUUAAGCUAUUUUAAUAUUACAAACUGUUUUAUUAUUUGAUUUUUUUUUGAACAAUCAUAUGACACCCUCUUAUCCCUAAAUCCCUUCCCAGUCAAUCAUACAGUGGUUGCCAUAUUGAAGGUGUUAGUGAAUGACUGUGUUCCUAUCUCUGGGUAGACAUUGGGCCAAAUCCAUCAACAGACGCAUAUUGAGUUUUUAUGAGACCUUCACUCUGUGAUGCGUGUCAGAAUAAUAAAGACUCUUUUUGUUCUCUUAAGUGAAUCUUGGAGUUUUGUCUAUUCUUUGGUUUGGUCUGGUUUCCCUGACAAAGCAGUUUCACUGGCUGGAAAGAAUAAGAGGGAAUGAUCAGGGGUACCUGAGUAGGAAGGGAUGACAAGAGAAAAUGGAUGAGUGUCAUUCCAAUGAUACCGGGCUUUACGCUGGUGAUACAGUCCUCAUAGGCUGAAGAAUAAGCAAAGUAUUCGAAACAAAUGCAAAUUUAUAUGCAUCAGGGAAAUCCGCUGAGAUGAACAACAAACAAGGCAUUCUAUCAUGCAUGUUAAUGCAUUUCCAUGAGUUCAGCUUUUUAAGAAUAAAGGCUAACAGUUUUUGAGGAUUUACUAUAGCCACAGCCUGUGCCAAGGAAUUUACGUGCAUUGUCUGGUCUUCAAAAUAUCAUUGUGUUGUCUAUACUGCUUAUCUCCCUUUGACAUAUGAGGAAACAGAGUCUCAGUACAGUUAAGAAACUUGCCCGAGGUCACACAGCUAGGCAUGUUGGAGUGAAACCUGAAGACCAGAGCAAGUCCCACACUCCUGAUUAACCGCUAGGAAACAGUCUCUCAAUGUGCCCAUGUUCCGUCGGAAACAGAUUCACCAGGAAUGCACAAAUCCCUAAUACAAGAGAGUCUAUACUAGGCAAGCAACGAGUAAGGACUUGUUUGUCGAAGAUCCCAGAAAAGACAGAAAUCCAUGGAUGUAAGCCUGGUGUUAGAGAGUUCUCCUAGACUAAAGAUGUUUGCAAUUCAGAAGAGGCUGGUGAGGACAUAAUCUGAAGCUUUCACAGCCUGAAUGGGCUGGAGGAAAACAGAGUCUGGGGCUGAGGGUCCCAGGGAAGGGACCUUAGGAAACCAUCCCAUGUUUGGGUUGAUGCCAUAAAGUAAAAGUAAAUUAGAAGUGAACCAGUCCCUGAACAGACAGGGGGCAUGGUCUAGAAAAUCUCAAACUCUGAAAUUUUUAAAAACAUGAUCUCAGUUGUUGAUGCAACAAAUGCUUGACAAACAAAGCCUGAACUUUUUGGCAAGGCACUAAAAGCUGUAAUGAGUAUAACUGCAGAUUUGUAAAAGUGAAAAAAUAAAUUCCAGAACUGAAAAAUGCAAUAACUGAAAUAAAAAAAAUCAGAGCAUAUUAAACACAACAGAAGAAAUGUUGGUAAAGUUAAAACAUAAUCAAAAUGAAGCAAGGAGAAACAGAAUAGAAAAUACAAAAGAGAGAAUAUAAAAAGGUGUCUGUCAUCUGGUUAACUGAAAUCCCAGAAUGAGAAGAGAAAGAGAAGACAGCAGAUGUAUCUGGAGAGAUAAAUGGCUAACAUUUUUCCAAAACUGCUGAAAGGUAUGAUUUUGAAGAUUCCAAGAGCGAAGACAUCAUCCCUGUUGCUAUCAAUGGACCAAGUUAAUGCCAACCACUCUUACCAUCAGCCCAAGCCUACAGAGGAGAGAUACCAGUGAACUUUUUAGAGAUGCUGGUGCCCCUUCCACCGGUGAAUACUGAUGGCUUUGGUAAAUAGUACGUUCUCCGGGAUUUCCCAUGGAACAUUAUCUGGUGGGUCUUCCAGCCUCACCCAAUAUAUGCAUUCCAGCAUGCUCACUUCCAUGAACCUCUUUAUCCCUUUCUCCUCCAUCUGUCAUGGCAAGUCAGGUAUUUUAACUUCACUCAGCAUGAUCCAUUGCUUUCUCCAGGCUUCUGGAACUUUCCUGGCAGCAAAUUUUUACCAACCCCUGAGAUCCUUGCCAGGUAGUUAUAACCUAUACCUAGAGAGAGUACUCCCAAGUCAAUAAGCUCCCCCUUAUCCAGUCUUGUGUUCCAGUUUGCUUGAUCAAGCACCCUCAGAAUCCAAACCCAAGGCACUUCCCCAGCUCAGGCUGGCACAUGCUUACUAAACUUCGCUGUUCCUUUGGAAUAUAGUCCCUAUACUCCCUUCUCAGAAAUAAUAAUUGACUGAUACAAGAAGACUAUUUAACAAGAAGAUAUGGAAACUAUGAAUGGUCCUAUUUCUGUUAAUGAAUUAAAUCAGUAAUUAAAAUCCUUUGGGAAAAGAAAGCCUUCAUAUGUAGCUGGCUCUAUAAGCAAGCUCCGUCAAACAUUUAUGGAAGAAAUAAUGGAGGAAGUAUAGCCUUUUAACAAAUGGCACGGCAGCAACUGAACAUCCAUAGACCAAAAAAACAUGACAUUGACCUCAACCUAACACCUUAUGCAAAAAAUUAACUCAAAAUGGAUCAUGGACCUAAAUGUAAAACAUAAAGCUAUAAAGCUUUUAGGGGAAAAAAAUAGAAAAUAGAAAAUUUUCAGGAUCUAAGUUUUUAGAUUGGAUGCCAAAAGUACAACCCAUAAAAGGAAAUUUUGAUAAACUGGACUCCCUUAAAACUUUAUAGUUUUGCUCUUUCAAAGACCCUGUCAACAAGGUGAAAGACAAACUACAGAAUGAGAGAAAAUAUCCACAAACCACAGA
ensembl:lncRNA